rnacentral:rRNA from 1 species
UACGUAGGGGGCAAGCGUUGUCCGGAAUCAUUGGGCGUAAAGCGCGCGUAGGCGGCCCGGUAAGUCCGUUGUGAAAGUCAAAGGCUCAACCUUUGAACGCCGAUGGAUACUGCCGGGCUAGAGUCCGGAAGAGGCGAGUGGAAUUCCUGGUGUAGCGGUGAAAUGCGUAGAUAUCGGGAGGAACACCAGUGGCGAAGGCGGCUUUCUGGACCAAUACUGACGAUCAGGUGCGAAAGCGUGGGGAGCAAACAGG